rnacentral:rRNA from 4 species
AAAAUUAGAGUGUUCAAAGCAGGCAGAUCCAAUUUUCUGCCACCGAAUACAUUAGCAUGGGAUAAUGGAAUAGGACCCUGUCCUCCUAUUUUCAGUUGGUUUUGGCAGCGCGAGGACUAGGGUAAUGAUUAAUAGGGAUAGUUGGGGGCAUUAAUAUUUAAUUGUCAGAGGUGAAAUUCUUGGAUUUAUGAAAGAUUAACUUCUGCGAAAGCAUCUGCCAAGGAUGUUUUCAUUAAUCAAGAACGAAAGUUAGGGGAUCGAAGACGAUCAGAUACCGUCGUAGUCUUAACCAUAAACGAUGCCGACCAGCGAUUAGGAGACGUUGAAUACAAAACACCACCAUCGGCGCGGUCGUCCUUGGCGUCGGUCCUUCGGGGCCGGCGCGAGGGCGGCUUAGCCCGGUGGCACCGGUGAA